AUGUACCAGGGGCCUUUGGGGAGAAAAAGGAAAAAAGUAAAAUCUGUAAAAAAAAAUAAGAAAAAGGGAGCAAAGGAUGUGGGAAAGGAUGGAGCAGCAUGUGAAGUGCUGCUGGACAGAGUCGGGAGGGGAGGGGGAAGGAGGAGAGAGGGGAGAGAAAGGAGAGGAGAGAAGGGAGGGAAGAGGAAGGGAGAGAAGGGAGAGGAGAGAAGAGGGGAGAGGGGAGGGGUGGAAAGGAAGGGAGGAGAGGAGGGAGGGGCCGAGUGGAGCCGGGUCAGAGGAAGCCCCAGUAGAGCACCUGGACUUGGUUGUGGGGCCACGGGGAGCUGCGGUGCUCGCGGCGGUGACUGGCCGUGCCUGGGGAGGGAGGAGGACCCGAGCCAGCCCGGAAGCAGGAGAAAGUCAAGGAGCUCCUGCCUGAGUGAAGACAGAGGCAGGAGCCGUCCCAACGGGUGCGUCCUCGUCUUCUUUCCACCCAGAGUUUUUUUGUUUUGCAUCAUUGUGUUUCUUCGGUGGGGAGUUGUGCAGAGGAAGGCAGGAUGGUGGUCGAGAGCACGAUUUUGGGGCAAACAGAUGUGGAUCCAGAUCCUUGCUCGACGCCCCCCAGCUGCAUGGUCUUAGACUGCUGUCCGGACGCGGUGAGAGAACGCCCGUGAGGGGCCGAGCAAAGUGCGGAUGGGAAAACAUGGCCAUUCUUUAACUGUCAUCGUUACUGAAGGCAGGACUGCAUGGUUAGGGAAAGACUUGAGGCCAGAGGAUUGCUCACACAGUGACUGAAGAGCAGCCACAGAGGUGCAAGCGAGGCCACGCGGAGAUGGGGCUUCUCCAUCUGCCCGCCAUCCUCUGGGGACAACACCCCAGGGCCCGGGAGCUGGGCCAUCUGUGUGAGCCGGAACCAUGGGGGCAGCUGGGGGAGCCCCAGGAGCACACAUGGAGGUGGUGGCACAGGAGGGAGGCAGGGCCGCCACCCCAGGAGCGCCCUUCCCUCACUCGGUCCUCCGCCCCACACGAGGCUGUGUCUGCUGCAAUGAUCUCAUGCUUGCCAGUUCUGAGAUAAUAGCCUCUGAAGAUGCACAGCAGAGCCGAUGUUCGGGCGCCCCUGAUGCAGGAAGCGCUCGGCACCAUUUCUGGGAACACAAGACUUCUAAGCGACUUCCUCGCUGAAUAUUUCAUGAUUUACAUUAAUGGCUUUCUGGUGUUUUUCAUAACAAAACUGUCCACAUUAUGAUGGGUUAAAAUGUGGUUAUUCCGGCCACUCUCCCUCUCAACGCCCCCGCCCUGGGCGUCUGGCCCACUUGUCCCUCUGUCUGCCCAACUCUUCUCCCCAAGAGCCCACAGGACCCUCAGGUCUCUUGUGUCCUAAAUGAGGUGCCCCUCCUCCAGGACAGGCGUCACUUGGCUGUUCAGCCAGCGUGGUCCUGCACGCAGAAGGGCUCUGACGUGGGGAUGGAGGUGCACGCAGCGGCUCUGUGCCACCAGGAGGGUGGGGGACAGGGGCCCACCCCAUCCGCCCCUGCAGAGUGGCCUGGGUUCUGGGGCUGGAGGGCCCUGCAGGCCCUGGUCCAGGUGUCCAGCCUUCAAGGCGAUGACCCGCCCAAGGUCACAUCUUACCGGAGAGCUG
rnacentral:lncRNA from 1 species